rnacentral:rRNA from 1 species
CCUACGGGAGGCAGCAGUGGGGAAUAUUGCACAAUGGGGGAGACCCUGAAGCAGCGACACCGCGUGAGUGAAGACGUACUUCGGUAUGUAAAGCUCUAUCAGCCGGGGAGCAAGUGACGGUACCUGAGUAAGAAGCCCCAGCUAACUACGUGCCAGCAGCCGCGGUAAUACGUAGGGGGCAAGCGUUAUCCGGAUUUACUGGGUGUAAAGGGAGCGUAGACGGCAGUGCAAGUCUGGAGUGAAAGGCGGGGGCUCAACCCCCGGACUGCUCUGGAAACUGUACGGCUGGAGUGCAGGAGAGGUAAGUGGAAUUCGUAGUGUAGCGGUGAAAUGCGUAGAUAUUAGGAGGAACACCAGUGGCGAAGGCGGCUUACUGGACUGUAACUGACGUUGAGGCUCGAAAGCGUGGGGAGCAAACAGGAUUAGAUACCCGUGUAGUC